rnacentral:lncRNA from 13 species
UUGGUUAAGGUGCCAUGGAUGGUUGUGAUCGACCUAUGCCUGAACCCCAGCUCUCCUGACCCCUAAGCUGACAGUUUUUCUAUCCACUGUGAGUGGCCAGUGUGACCUCGAGGUUGUUUACAUCUUCACUGCAACUGACCAUGUUGCCUGCUGGAUCAGCUUAUGUUGGCAGUAGAGCCAUCCCUGGUCACAGGAAGGAGAGAAUGAUAACGAUGGAAGCAAUACUCACUAGCCCUAUGGCAGGCUUAGUAUGCGCCAUCCUGCCUCAUUGAAUUCUCCCAAUGACUGCCAGAUGGAAACCCACUCUAUUGCCCAGGCUGGAUGGAGUGCAAUAGCACAAUCUCAGCUCACUGCAACCUUCACCUCCCGAGUUCAAGUGACUCUCCUGCCUCAGCCUUCUGAGUAGCUGGGAUUACAGAAUGUAAGCUCCAGGCGGGCAAGAACUUGAUCUUCUUCACUCAAAGCUGAAGCCCCAGCAGGUACAAUCCCGUGCUGAGUCGCUUAUUCAUCAGCAGAGAGGAACACUGAUUCUCUUUGGAAAAGACAGACUGUCUAGCCUCCUGGAACUGCGGCACAGUCUCACUGAGGGCCUGCUUCCAUUCCAGUCAAAGAGAGACAAAAAGAAAAAACGUGAGCCACCACCCCUUCUUUCUGUCCCAGCUUUAGUGCUGCCACGGCCGCCUCCUGCUCCUCUGCUC